UUUCCUCCUCAAACCCUAAGAUGGGGUCAACAAUUCUUGUGCUGUUUCUUUUCAUUUCAUAUGCUGGAGCCAUUUCAACCUCUGAUUUCCAGAUAUUCUCCACUUCAGAAAGCAGAGCCUUAAACCACAGCAAUGUGCAGACGCAUCAGGAGUUUCUGGAGAGAUUAUCGUAUAGAAGCAUGAAGGACAAGAACUGGUUGGGCAGAAGUUGAGGAAAGGAAAAAUGAGAUAUCUGAUACUCUACGAAAAGCACAUGGAAGUGGAGGAAGGGGAGCACCUUCUGGUUCUGGUAGUGCAAAUAUUAAUCGUCGUCCUCCCACUCGCAACUCUGCAACUUCAUUAUUACAAGCAACAUCUUUGUGGGGCUCAUAUUUAACUCUUUCUGUAGCAAGCUUCGCUUUGAUCUUCGUUUUCCUCUUCCGCUAACUGUUUGGGGGUGUUUCUAAGGAAGAAAUCUUUCUGUCAUAUGGCGAUUUUGUUUGUUUAUUGCUUCUAUUGUUUGCGUUUUUCUUUUUAUGAUCCUCCGGGAGCAUCUUUGUUUGUCACUUGGCAAUUUGAUUCCCCUCUUUAAAAUUUCCAGAAUUUUCUUGUGGAAGUUGUAAUCUUUCAUAUAUGAAUAGGUGCUUGAACCUCUCAUUUCUGCC